UUCACUGAGUUCAUUAACUGAAGAAAGCGUGCGUGCGUAUAUGUGUGUUCUUGUAAUGUGGCACAAUUUAUACCGUUUUAUAUCCCUGAAUUAUAUUUUCUUCUCAAUUUUGCUGCUCUCUAUUUCUUUUUUUUUUUUUUUUUUUUUUUUUUUUUGCAAGUAGGUUCUGAAGACAUUGUGCUCAACAGUGGGAUUAUUUUUCUUUCCAUAGUAGAAAAGGUGGAAACAUCUCUUAACCUCUGUCUCUCUCUCUUAGGGUCAGAAGGAUGUGGUGGAUGCCAUUUGCCAGCAGUAGUGAUGACUUCCUUGGGCUCAUAGGACUGCGCACAGAACGCACUUCUAUUUCAACAUCACUAAGAUCAGUUUGGGCUUGGCCUGUACAACUACUGUUCUCCAGGAGAAACCAUAGUGCAGGGAUGAACUUCUGUGGACCAGAGGAAAGACUUGGCCUUUUGCAGAAGGAGCUGUGUGGUCGACCACCCAGACUUUGCAAGCCAGAAGCUGAUUGAGAACAAAGACUGUCAUGUCCCUGGAGGGUACCCUGGGUGGGAUUGCAAUGAUAACAACAAAAGAUUAUCUGUUCCAAGCCUCUCCUCCUUAAGUCUGCAGAAACACAAGCCAUUACUUCAGACUGAAAGAGUUUAUUUCAGCCAGAUUAUGUUACAAGGAGAUCCUCGAGUGAGUUCAUGCACAAGCAGCAGAAACCUGUCAUGUUUGAGAAAUGUUUUGUCAGUAUGACUGGCCUCUUCCCCUCAGCUGGGUACCUGGAGGCAGAAGGCAGCAUGGAUACUGGGGGAAAGCCUGGAAAUAUUAAUCAAAGCUGUAAUCUCCUGCAAAGAAUUGUACGCAGUGAUGCUGAAGACUGUUAACAUAGCACCUUAUUCUGAUAUCUUGUCUCUGGCUUUGGGGGGAAGGGAGGAAUGUAUAUGUGACCAGCUCAGUAAGUGACUUUCAAGAAAGUAGGCUGAGUGGUUUUCUUCUUGCAGAAGACCCACGUGAACUACAUGGCUUUUCCCAAAUUCACUGUAGGUUGCACUGCAAGAGCUUGAUGGGACCCAGAUUUGUGGAGUGAGGAUGGUAGGACUUGUUUUAGAUUGUCUUCAUCCUGUUACGCAGGGGUUAUUUGGUACAAAUGAAGGAGUGAAGCUUUCUUGUUUUUCUGCAUGUCAGAUCUCUGCCUCCUUCCCCUUCCUUUGUAGAGAUGUGGGGCAUUGACACUUCUCAGCAUCCUUGGAAAUGUUCUUAGUAAUCUUUUUCAUAAGAAAUCCAACACCACCAGUCAACCAGACUAUCACAGUAGUCAGUGUAACUGAAUAUUUCCUUCCAGAAACAGGCCUAUGGGGAAGCAAAAGGAUUGAACUUAUUUGUGCUGGGGUUGCUUGUCCUCCUUGCUUCAUGGGAUCGAGAGGCAAUUAGAAACUCUGAAAUUUCUGAUAUUCCCAUUGAGUGAGGAAAAUGAGCGUGGUACUAUACGUAGCUGAUCUGUCAACAAGCACUAUUGCUUAGCUU
rnacentral:lncRNA from 1 species